rnacentral:rRNA from 1 species
AUUUAAAUAAAUUUAGGUACUACUCUUUUUCUAAGGAAACCUAUAUAGUUUGGCGGCAUUUAAUCACCCUAGAGGAACCUGUCUUUUAAUCGAUACUCCACGAUAACUUUCACUUCUAAUCAAAUUUUAUAUACCUCCAUUUUAAGAGUUAAUAUUUAUAUAUUACCCCCAAAAGAACCCUAAUAAAUUAGGUAAAGGUGUAAACUAAUUAGUAGAUAAGAUGGGUUACAUUAAUCCACAUUUAAGGAAAUUUUACCAAAAUAAAAACAUAAAAAGGAUUUAGAAGUAGGCAUAGAAUAAUAUUCUUUAUCGAAUAUGACAAAAAAUGUGC